UACGUAGGGUGCAAGCGUUGUCCGGAAUUAUUGGGCGUAAAGAGCUCGUAGGCGGUCCGUCACGUCUGCCGUGAAAACCCGAGGCUUAACCUCGGGCCUGCGGUGGAUACGGGCGAACUAGAGGUAGGUAGGGGAGAACGGAAUUCCCGGUGUAGCGGUGAAAUGCGCAGAUAUCGGGAGGAACACCGGUGGCGAAGGCGGUUCUCUGGGCCUUACCUGACGCUGAGGAGCGAAAGCGUGGGGAGCGAACAGG
rnacentral:rRNA from 1 species